GCGCGAGUGGUGAAAUUGGCAGACACGCUAGAUUUAGGCUCUAGUGCCUUUGGUAUGAGGGUUCGAGUCCCUCCUUGCGCA
rnacentral:tRNA from 1 species